rnacentral:rRNA from 1 species
UACGUAGGGUGCGAGCGUUGUCCGGAAUUACUGGGCGUAAAGAGCUCGUAGGUGGUUUGUCGCGUUGUCCGUGAAAACUCACAACUCAAUUGUGGGCGUGCGGGCGAUACGGGCAGACUGGAGUACUGCAGGGGAGACUGGAAUUCCUGGUGUAGCGGUGGAAUGCGCAGAUAUCAGGAAGAACACCCGUGGCGAAGGCGCUCCCUGGAACGCAACUGACGCUGAGACGCGAAAGCGUGGGGAGCAAACAGG